GUAUGCACGCGCAAGUGCGUUUGACUACUUCUAAUUGCAGACUGUAACAGGUGGACACCAACUGAGUUCGAGAGACAUCUCAAGAUUCAAGAAAACAGGGUGCCACAGACUGCCUGACCACAAUGGAGUGCCACAGCAAAGGGUCUGAAUACUUUAUAGGUAAUGACCUGGGGGUGGAAUCAGGCAGAUUUGUCUUUGUGAAGGACCCAUGAAUCAAGCCAAGGUUCUCCUGUAAGAAAACGUACUUCCUUGUGCUCCGACAAUGUUCCUCAGCAGGAUGAUGCUCCAUGCCACACAGGCAGGAGGAAACUGGAGCACCUGGAGGAAACCCACACGGACACGGGGAGAACAUGCAAACUCCACACAGAAAGGACCCGGACCCAGGACCUUCUUGCUGUGAGGCGACAGUCCUACAGAAAUGAAAUCUGCUGCUGUGGGAGGGAAUGUUUCCGUCCACCAUGUGCCGGUUUGUCUGCUGCAGCACCUCCUGCUUCACCAUUUUCAACUAUUAAUUCAUCGUCUUCUCCAACAGACUCCAGACGGCUGCCACCUGAUUACACCAAUAUCAUUAAUAAAAAAUUUACAUUUACAGAUGAUACAUCAUCUUCUGGAUAUAAAU